UACGUAGGGUGCAAGCGUUAAUCGGAAUUACUGGGCGUAAAGCGUGCGCAGGCGGUUUUUUAAGGCAGAUGUGAAAUCCCCGGGCUUAACCUGGGAAUGGCAUUUGGGACUGCAAGGCUAGAGUGUGUCAGAGGGGGGUAGAAUUCCACGUGUAGCAGUGAAAUGCGUAGAUAUGUGGAGGAAUACCGAUGGCGAAGGCAGCCCCCUGGGAUAACACUGACGCUCAUGCACGAAAGCGUGGGGAGCAAACAGG
rnacentral:rRNA from 1 species